AGCCUCUUUUGUGUCAGAAGACGGCAUCAUUUGAAAAUGAAGCAAAUAACGGUUUUGGGUCUCACACACACUUCACAUACACACCAAACAAAAGAAUUGUUUUCCUUAACUGAGAAGGUUCAUCCUCUACCUUUCCUUUGCAGAAGAGCGAGGAACAUAUUGGCUCUGGAAUACGGUCCUCCAGUGUCAAGACCAUCUUGGGGGACCUGGAACUGUCUCCCCUAGAUGAGAAGAUCGAGGAACAUAUUGGCUCUGGAAUAAGGUCCUCCAGUGUCAAGACCAUCUUGGGGGACCUGGAAAAGUCUCCCCUAGAUGAGGGGCGCUUUGGAUCCGCUGGCACUGCAGUUCCAGAAGGUUCUCAGCCAAUAUGUUGGUUCUGUGAAUCAAAGCCAAAGCCUCUGCCCCAGCAAAAUGUGGUAUUCCCUGCUGAGUCAUCUUUCCAGACCCCAGAAUCAAUAUGUUUCUUAUGCACCUGUUCAUAAGCAAAGACCAAAUGUCCUUAGUAUAAACAAUGAGUCAGCUCAGGGGGGUUGCCAAAAUUUUAUACCCUAGGCUUCUUCAGCCUGCUGGUAUGAAACAUUGAAAUGCAGAGAACUUAUUGGCAGGAAGAACAUGAAUAGGAGGUGGUCUUGUUGGUACACUCCUCUAAUCUGUGCACUCAUAAUGCAGAGGACACUGGUCUCGUUGAGAUCACGGAUAAUCUGUUCU